ACAAUAAACAGGCUGAAUCAGAGUAUGUGCUCUCUGCAGAGGCUUGCUAGGAAACACUAUAGCAUUUUUGAUUUGAUUAUGUUAGCGUGAUCCUUUCUACAGCAUGCUUAACAUAAAGGAGAGAAAUCAGAUGUCUGCUGAGGACAAUAGCAGAGUUCCACAUGGGACCUAUGGCCAUAUAACUGAAAAAUUGAAUUUACAUUUUGUCAUGCUGCAAUAGAAACUAUAGAAUACAAAUCUGGAAAAUAUACUCAAGAUUCCGACUGCAUGCUUGAAGUGGUUUUGCAAUAAUAGGAAAAUCCAACACAUAUAUAUUUCAUUGCCAGACUUUAUUUAUUGUUUAUGUUUAACAAUGAUUGGCUUACAGAGAAUGUGAACCCUCUUGUUAGCAUUAUUGCAAAUAAUAAUAAUAAUAAUAUAUAUGUAUAGAAUAGUACAUGUUGUACUAGAUAAGCAAUUCUUCUAAAGAGGAAAUAUCUUAUAUCAUGAAUCUCCAACAGGUGGCCCUCAAGCCAUUAAACUAGAAUCCUCAUCAUCACCUGAUGGCACCAGGCUGCCAGAGGAAGGUGGGAGUUACAGAUUAGCAACACCUGUAGAGCCUCUAAAAGGUAUUAAUUCAUUUUUCAUUUAAACUGUAUGUUUAAUAUUUAAACAACUCUGGCCUUUACCUGCAACUCUACUAAAAUUUCAUCUGUGCAAGCUAGGACAUUUCUAAACAUGUAAUGCUUAAUUCCAUACCACAAUACUAUGUAAUGGGUUUCCAUACAUUACUGUGAUCACCAGCAAAAAUAAAAAUAGACACAGAUGUGCUCGUUUUUAUCAUGCAAUUAAAGUUUCAUUGCUCUAAUCACCUCUUACUCCUACUGGCCAUAGCAGAUUACAGACCUGUGAGUAGGAAGUGAAGGUUACUGAUUAUGAUACUGAUUAAGUGAGGAUUACUGGCUAUGCACUGAGGCUAAGAUGAGAAACCAUUGCACAAUGGACUUAUUCCUUGCGGACCUUGAUGCCAAAAGAACUAAAUCCACAUACAGUAUUUAAGAAACACAUUUUAUAAUUUCUUAUUAGUUUUUGGAAUGUAGAAAUGUACACAAUUUUCACUUAUGUUCAUAGCGAUGAAUAAGUUUGUCCCACUGGUCAGAUGAUUUGAAGCCUCGGGAAAAGAAACAGCGGAGAACAAAGUCACCUUUCACUGGAUAAUUAUGUAGUUUGAAUAGGGCCUUGUAUCCUGUUAAUCUUGUGUUAACCCUUUAGUGAUAUAUAACCAGGCAAAUUGUGAUGUUUAUAUUAUAUAUAGACAGUAGCUCAACAAUUUGCUCUGUGUGAAUGAUCAGUUUUGCUCAGUUAAGGUGUUAACAGCAACAUCAUUAUGUGUCCCUCAUUAAUUAUAAUGUUUAAUUGGUAUUGGGACAGAAUGGUUCAAAACUGCACACGUAGUCUCAAAAAACAAUUAAAUAAAUAAAUAAACAACCAA